GGAUCUCGCUCUGUAGACCAGGCUGGCCUCAGAUCCCCAGGAUUAAUUUGACUGUUCUGGGUGCCUAGCUUGGUGCUCCCUUCCUUUAUCACCUGUCGGGUGAUUCCUUCCCAAUGCCUCACACACACUCAGUCAAAGAGGACAACCUUCCCUGAUAGUGGAGGAUUAUUCUUCAUUCAGGGUUUAUGAGUAGCUGUGAUUUUUCUGCUAGAACCCCCAGACAAGCUCUCAAAAUGGAACAAAACUUAGAAUGCCACAAGAUCAUGUGUUAAUUG
rnacentral:snRNA from 1 species